UCACUUAAAAAAUAUUUUUCAUCGAAAAAUAAAAAUCACCUCUUAAAAUAUUUUCUUCUUUUUAAGGAAAAUUAGGCAUAUUUUCAAAAAUUGAAAAAUAUUUUCUAUAAAAGAAAUAGCAAUCAAAGUAGGAAUUUGGAUGGAAAAUUGAUAUUUUCCAUGGAAAUGUAAUCAAAUACACCCAAGUUCUAUUUUUGGUUUGUGAUUAUGUUAAUUUCUGAUUUGUGGAAAAAUGAAGUUUGAAUGGCUUAUCUGUGUUUCACGGUCGAGGAUUAUAAGCUUAAACGGUUUUUUUACGCUCUAUAGGAUUUCAAAAAAUAUUGGAUUAUUUUUCAGUUACAAAUAAAUGAAAACAAAGGUCCAUUUAAUGCACAAUGAAAUAUGUCUAUUGAACUUGUGGAAUUCAAAUGACUAGUUUUUACCCAACAAGUAGGUUGUUCUAUAUGUGGGCACCUUUAUCUAGGGUUGAGUAUAUACAAAUUUAAACCAUUUUUGCCGUCAUUUUACAAUAUUGUUUGAUACAUUAAGUGUUUGCAGUGCAGUAUUAUCAUGCAUCUGUUUCGUAAGUUAGUGCAGGUUGAUCUGCUUAGAUUCCUUCAUGAUUUUGCCUUUUUUCACAUUAUUUCAAAAUAGUAUCCUACAUAUUCUUGGUUCUGAAGAUCUGUUGUAGGCAGUAGACUAGAACAUAUAUUGUUCCUCAUUUUCUAAUUAAGGCUUCUGUAUAUACUUGUCACUGAACUUCUGGUACAGAGAUCGACUUGAACUUCGAAUAUUUGUAUGGUUUAUGACACAUUUUAGGCUUUUUUCUGUAGUUCAAACAUUUUUUAAUGAAUAGAAUAAGUUCCCAAAAGAAGACUAGACUAUAUCAAGGGUUUGCAGAAUCAUUUCAAGUGGAUGAUAUGCCAGGGUCCAAAACCUUUGUCAGAGGCAGAACCAUCAAUCCAAAUGAGAGGCUGAAGAAUGACUCUAAAAGUCAGUUGCAAAUGACUAAAAUUGUCUGAGUUAUUUCCACAGAAACUUUUGGAAAGAACUUAAUAUUGAUUUUUUUAUGUAAUGUGGAUAAAUGAAUGGUCUCAUUUUUUUUUGUAGACACAUGAAUAAGAUAAUGGGCCUAUUCUAUUGUUCAUUAAUGGCAGGUGUAAAAUCCAAAGAUGAGGGUUCUGGUUUAAAGGGGAGGAGGUAACAAAUGCUUUUGAUAAGCUAUUUUCAUAAUUGUUGUAUGGUUAGUUAUUCUGAUUAUGAUAAUCAUGUGGUGGUGUUCUCAAAUACAUGCACUAUGAGAAUUUACAAUAAAGGUUUUGAAAUAUUGAAACAAUAUGUGACUGCAAUGAAAUAAUAACUUUUUGCGAGGAGGUUUAAUAGAAAUGUCGUAAAGGCUCAAACAAUUUUCUAUGUAAUGUUUACCAUAAAAAUUAGUUAUUAAGAUAGUAGGGAGUGAAAUACAAUUCUAAGUUGGCAAGUUCUGAUUUUGGCUACCAUAGUCAAUUCUUAAUAGUUGUCGCACUGUGCAAAUAUUUUGCUUUGAAGAGAAUAGGAUGUCAAUGAAUAUAGCAUCAAGACAUAUUAUUAACAUUAAGAUAGAUGGUUAAGGAUUUCCAUCAACAGUAUAAUUGUCUAUGAUUCUUUUACGUAUUCAGAAUUUGUGUGAUUUGAUGAUUUAGAUGGCCAAGGGACAAAAGUUUAAGAAUGCCAUACAAACUGUGCUAAUGAUUUUAGAUGUUGCUCUUCAGGUUCAUGUUUAGCACAAGUUAUACUGGAGAUUAAUAUUGAGUAAAGAAAAAAUUUUGCAAUAUUUAUAAAUUCAGAAAAUAGUGAAGUACUUGUCAUAUGUGUACGUGAUGGUUUUAGUUAGACUCAUGAGGUAUAAAUGGAUCAAGUAAUAUAGAUCAAAUGAAAUGUGAAUUCGAGGUUUCAAGUGCUUUGAUGAAUGUUGAAGUGGUUUGGUGAGAAUUGAAGUUUAUUCAUGUUGGAGUUCUUGGUUAAAUCGUUGUAUGACAUAUGAUAUCUACGAGAUAGUUGUUGUUAGAUAUGAUCUUGAAUGUAUAGUAGCCCUAAUUUGAUUUUUUCUUCUUCACUGUAUACGAUCAGCCUGAAGUCAAGUUUGUAGAUGAAUAUAAUUGGGACAAGAUAGAAAAUUAAGUAGCCAUUCUUGCAGGUUCAUUGUUAAAAGUGUAUAUGGACACAUAUGAAGGAUAUUGUGACUACCAAUUUAAAUGUUCUGUGAAUGUUUCACAAUGCUUUUAAGUGCUUGUAAGCUGGUGAAACAUCAUUUUUCGAUCACAUAUUUUUUAGAACUUUUAUCUACUUUUAAACACAGCUUUUAAUUGUAUGCAAAUAUUUACUACCUCAUUCGCCUUAGUUCAUGUAUUCAGAUUUAUAUUGUCCAAACUUUUGUUGUAAUGGUUUUUUUUCCCCUUUCAGGUUUUGAUCAAGUUCGGGACAAAACAAAGAGUUGUUAAGGUAUUAGGUGCUGUUAAUAUUUUCUGUCAGUUGUAUAACAAAUAAUUUGAAAUUCGUCAAAUGUUAAGCAUUUGCAAAUGUUUACUACCUCAUUCGCCUUAGUAAAUGUAUUCAGAUUUAUAUUGUCCAAACUUUUGUUGUGAUGGCUUUUUUUUUUUUUUUUUCAAAUUUUUUCCAGGUUAUGAUCAAGUUCAGGACAAAAUAAAGAGUUGUUAAGGUAUUAGAUGCUAUUAACAUUUUCUGUCAUUUGUAAAACAAAUAAUCUGAAAUUCAUCAUAUAAUAUGUAUCUGUUCUGCAGAAUCUAACUUCAUUACUAUGAGAAACGAAUUAAAGUUGACAUGGUGACUGAUGAUGUUAAAUUCCUGUAUCCAGUAAUGUUGUCCCUUAUAGUGGCGAAUCCUAUUCCAUAGAUGUUGUAGAUACAAAUAUUCUUUUAUUAUGCCUGUGAGUACGACAAGCCUAGAAAUAGUGGAUGUCUUACGCGGAUUUGUAGUAGUUCAAAAUAUGUAAGUUACUUAGAGAUACUUCACUAAGUGAAAAAUGACUGUGAUAGGCAAUUUAACCUUCAAGACUUCUUUCAUUACCCUGGAAGUGGCAUGCAUUAUUUAAAUUGUGUUAAUUUUUUUUUGGCUUCUUUCAAUCAAUUUUGUCAUGUGAAGACAGUGAAGUUCAGUUUGGAUUUAACCUUUUUUUAAAGAUAUCAGUUCCUUCUUCCAUUCUUAUUAAGAAACUAAUUUCAAUAAAAUAAUAAUUAUUAUUAUUAGUUUAUUACAUUAAGCUUAUGGACUUCUGAAGUGAUUAUGAAAUUUUGCUUUCGGAAUAUAGGUGAACUAUUUCAACAUAUAUGUCCGCAAGUCGAACACAACUGAUGGUGGUAUAUCUUGCAACAGGAGGCACUUUCUUCUUAAAAAGCAGUAAGGGGUGUAAGGGGUAACAUUUUCUUCAAUGAUGUUGACAUUGUUAAUUUGAGUUAGAUUUUGAAAUUUGAUUGUUAUUCCAUUGCGCUUUCUCUUCUAUUCAAGUGUUUAGUUAAAGGAAAGCCAUACAUUAUCGCCGUUGAGGACCCACAGAUGGCCUUAUAAGUUUUCAUACAUUUUAAUUUCUGCUACUCAACGGGUCACAAUCAUUGGAUAUGUUUCUAAGCACAGGAUUAAUGUUGCUGUAUCAUUUUGUGUUUUCCUUUUCUUUUUCCCUUUCUAUUUAUUGUAUAGUUUGUGCUUCUACAUUUAGAUACUUGAAACUAUAUGAUCCCAAUGUGGGAGGAAAAAACAAGAUAAGAGCAUCCUUAACAGGUUAUUAUAUCAUGUAAAUAUUCACAUACAUAUUUGUUCUGACAAUUGACAACAGGAUCCAAAUAAUGGAAUAGGGAAAAACUCCUAUAAUUAUUUUUAGGUAAGAUUCUUCAUGAAGUCUAUAAUUUUUUACUCUACUUUUCCUUGCGUCAUAAUACCAUUUUUUUCCUCCUCUACUUUGCUUCACUUCCUAAAUCCUCCAACUAUUUGUAUAUUGAAGUGAAAGAGGAAUGAAAACAGCAUUUAAUGAUUUUUGGAUGUACAAAUCUGGGCUUAACAAAAUGUGUGAAUUCUUGAAUAACAAAUUGAUCUUUUCCCUCUUUUAGAUGUUUGGCUAAGUUUAAAAAAAGUACCUGUACACGUGAAAAUUCAAAUUUUAAUCUAGUGGUUUGAAGUCUUGUCCCUCUUUGUAGUCAAAAAAUGUUAAUUAUGGUAUUCCUAUUUUUUAAUUUACAUUUUAAUCUCUUUUUGUAUUUUUUCUUGUUUUUACUGUUUUAAGGAUAAUUCAGACUGGAAUUUGCAUAAUUUAUGAAUUUAUCUGCUUAUUCAUGAAGUUUGUACGUGGUUGUCCAAUGUUGGGGGGUUGAAGUUCCAAAGGACGAGAAC
rnacentral:lncRNA from 1 species